AUGUCGCUGAUCGCGGGCGAGGAGUUCCAGCACAUCCUGCGUGUGCUCAACACCAACGUCGACGGUAAGCAGAAGAUCAUGUUCGCGCUCACCUCCAUCAAGGGUGUGGGCCGCCGCUUCUCCAACAUCGUCUGCAAGAAGGCCGACAUCGACAUGAACAAGAGGGCCGGAGAGCUUUCCGCGGAGGAGAUGGACCGCCUGAUGGCGGUGGUGCACAACCCGCGCCAGUUCAAGGUGCCGGACUGGUUCCUCAACAGAAAGAAGGACUACAAGGACGGGAGGUUCUCCCAGGUCGUGUCCAACGCCGUGGACAUGAAGCUCAGGGAUGACCUUGAGAGGCUCAAGAAGAUCAGGAACCAUCGUGGUCUGCGUCACUACUGGGGUGUGCGUGUCCGCGGUCAGCACACCAAGACUACCGGCAGGAGAGGAAAGACUGUUGGUGUCUCCAAGAAGCGAUAA
rnacentral:rRNA from 1 species